GCUUUCUGAAAAACGGCAAACUUCGCAGGGCUAUAUUAUCCGCAUUUUACAACAUUUCGCAACGAAACUUCCGGAAUAUUACCAAUUUUGUGAUGCUCUUUCAAGCUGUGAUGAAAUUUUUGUCCAGACUUGUCUAGAUCGAAAUAUUGUUCAUUAGGGAAUAGGUCUAUGCAUGCCACAUUGAUACAUAACUUAAUUCGCUGGCAGAAGUAUGCAAGACGAAUCACCAUCUAAUUUCUAAUAGCAACUAAAGCAUUUUAAACUCUCAGAAGGACAGAACUUCACAGGUUCACUAAUAAAGUUGGAAUUUCCACCCCGCUUCAAGCAAUGCAAUGCCAAUGGCCAUUAAGGACCUUAAAUAAUGAUUUAAUUAUGGCGAGCCAGGUGGCACCGAAGAGAAAAGGGUCGUCAGAGAUACGAAAAACCAAUUUCAU